UGAUGCAGCAACGCCGCGUGAGGGACGACGGCCUCCGGGUUGUAAACCUCUUUUAGCAGGGAAGAAGCGAAAGUGACGGUACCUGCAGAAAAAGCACCGGCUAACUACGUGCCAGCAGCCGCGGUAAUACGUAGGGUGCAAGCGUUAUCCGGAAUUAUUGGGCGUAAAGAGCUCGUAGGCGGUUUGUCGCGUCUGCUGUGAAAUCUGGGGGCUCAACCCCCAGCCUGCAGUGGGUACGGGCAGACUAGAGUGCGGUAGGGGAGAUUGGAAUUCCUGGUGUAGCGGUGGAAUGCGCAGAUAUCAGGAGGAACACCGAUGGCGAAGGCAGAUCUCUGGGCCGUAACUGACGCUGAGGAGCGAAAGGGUGGGGAGCAAACAGGCUUAGAUACCCUGGUAGUCCACCCCGUAAACGUUGGGAACUAGUUGUGGGGUCCAUUCCACGGAUUCCGUGACGCAGCUAACGCAUUAAGUUCCCCGCCUGGGGAGUACGGCCGCAAGGCUAAAACUCAAAGGAAUUGACGGGGACCCGCACAAGCGGCGGAGCAUGCGGAUUAAUUCGAUGCAACGCGAAGAACCUUACCAAGGCUUGACAUAUACGAGAACGCUGCAGAAAUGUAGAACUCUUUGGA
rnacentral:rRNA from 1 species